rnacentral:rRNA from 1 species
AUAUCAAUAAGCGGAGGAAAAGAAACCAACAGGGAUUGCCUCAGUAACGGCGAGUGAAGCGGCAAAAGCUCAAAUUUGAAAUCUGGUUGUUUUGCAGCCCGAGUUGUAAUUUGAAGAGCUUAACCUUGAGCACUUGAUUCUGUCUAUGUUUCUUGGAACAGGACGUCACAGAGGGUGAGAAUCCCGUGAGGUGGGAUUAAGUGUUUCUUGUAGGUUUUGUUCGACGAGUCGAGUUGUUUGGGAAUGCAGCUCUAAGUGGGUGGUAAAUUCCAUCUAAAGCUAAAUAUUGGCGAGAGACCGAUAGCGAACAAGUACAGUGAUGGAAAGAUGAAAAGAACUUUGAAAAGAGAGUGAAAAAGUACGUGAAAUUGUUGAAAGGGAAGGACAUUAGAUGAGACUUGGCGAUUUAGGCACAUCCUCCUCUUGUAGGGGGUGCACUCCUGAAUUUUUUGCUGGGCCAGCAUCGAUUUGUGCGGUGGGAUAAUACUUCUUGAAUGUGGCUGUUCGCAGUGUUUAUAGCUUGAAGAGAUACUGCCAGUAUGGAUCGAGGACUGCGUCAUUUUUUUAUGACUAGGAUGCUGGCGUAAUGAUCUAAUGUCGCCCGUCUUGAAACACGGACCAAGGAGUCUAACGUCUAUGCGAGUGUUUGGGUGUGAAACCCGUACGCGUAAUGAAAGUGAAUGUAGAUGGGAGUGUCGUCAAGGCACGCACCAUCGACCGAUCCUGAUGUUUUCAGAUGGAUUUGAGUAAGAGCAUAGCUGUUGGGACCCGAAAGAUGGUGAACUAUGCCUGAAUAGGGUGAAGCCAGAGGAAACUCUGGUGGAGGCUCGUAGCGGUUCUGACGUGCAAAUCGAUCGUCGAAUUUGGGUAUAGGGGCGAAAGACUAAUCGAACCAUCUAGUAGCUGGUUCCUGCC